rnacentral:ncRNA from 1 species
UUAUACUACCAAAAGGAUAAGUCCUUUGUUCGGUCGAUAGUUGGAUACUGAUUUUUAGUAAAUUAAGCGUAUGGAAAGUACGUCAGCCCAACUGGGGAGGAGCUACUUUAGUAGCUCCUUUUCUUUGUCUA